rnacentral:lncRNA from 1 species
UCCUAGUUUUGGAUCCUGGUUUGCAUAUCUAAACGCAACACUUCAGAGAGAAGCAACUUGAGACAUUGACGUAAAGCGUUGUGCAUUAGAAAAUAUCUGGAAACCGCCCAAGGUCCAUUAGUGAGAACUGGUGAAAUAUUAAUUAUGGCACAUUUGUAUAAUGGAACAAUAUACCAGUCUGAAAAACAGAGAGGUAUCCUGGCUACAGAGAAAUUACCCAGGGUUCAGUGUUCAGUGAAAAUAAUGUGACAGUACAAUGUCUAGGGUAUAACUAACUGUACCAGUGGGUCAGACAGCAAGGGGGCCUUGAAUAGUCAGAGUUACUAAAAAUAUAAUAACUCUUGAAUUCAGAAAUAAGGCUUAAGAAAGGUUACUGGAAUUUUUAGUAGAGGCACUAAAAUGAGGAUGCUGUGAAAUCCUAACUAUUAGAACCAGGGCACGCCUAUAUUACAAGAUCUAAUUUGGAAUUGUAAGAGUAACUAGCUGGAAACAAGUUUAUGGGAAAUUUGGAGAAAAUCCCUUUUGCGGGUUCAACUUAGAUUAUGUCCGGCAGAGACAACACUCCCACCCCCAUUCUUUGAGUUUGACUCUUGACUUCCUUCACAGUUUUCCAACCUGUACUUGGAGUAAGCUGCUUUAAAGGGAUUUGACAGGUUGUGGGUCAUGGGAAAAACAGAACACCACAACACAAUUGCAAGAUGAAGAUCCAUAAGUUCAGAAGGCACUUAGCUUGAGUAUUAAGCAGCAGGAAUGGGGCCAGCUUUUUUCCAACUACCAAAUGUCUAAAUUUUUUGCGCCCUUAACUUCCACACAUUCCCAGAUUUGAUGCACUGUAAUCUAGAGCACCGUUCAAUAGGUUAGCCUCCUCUGAUUCCCAUGCUUACCUGAGAUUAACAUGCGGGUCCUGGUUUUGGUUUGUUUUUUUCCCCUUGGAUGCCACUGAAUGAGACCGACUCCAUUAGGUAAAUUGCUUCUUCUGAAAGAGUUCCUGGCAGGGCAGAUUCACUUCAAAAGGAUUUUAUAAGCUAUUUUGUCUGACUGCCUUGACUGUAGCCGCCCUAGUUCACCAGGUACUACCAAACUAACUCCUUAAAGUUACUGAUGUGUGUGGUUCCAACUGGUAAAAGAUAAGCCUUUUCAUAAUCAACUGUUGAAAAAUUGUAAAGCAAAGAAAUUAUAGCAAUAACACUACGUUAUUGUAUAUAUGUAGUUGCAUAUACAAGUCCCUCGGUUUGAUCCCCAACAUGCAAAGGGAAGGGAAAGGAAGACACGCACUGUAUAAAGUAUGUGACGUACAUGUAUCAGAAGGUCAAUGCAACUCAUCCUUUAGUACACAGAGUUCAGGGAUGUAUGUUAGUAGUUAUAACUGUAAUAGUGUGAGAGCUGCAAACAGCGAGCAGAGCCUUGCCACAGUGGGCCCCGCCGACAACAAUUAAAACCUCUCCUACUCUGCUGAUGGCUUUGAGCAUUCACUAAAGUACCUUCAGUAUUGGAGUUUAGAUUAUAGAAGGAUUCCAGGAAGGAAAUUCCCAAAUAGAGAACCUGCAAAUAAGGUGCAAUGUACCUUUUACAUGCCUUUAUCGUGUAAAAUGCAAUUACUUCAUCCGUAGCCCUCUCACCUGCCUGCACUUACUGGAGGGUAUUAUCUAUAGCAAUGAAUUACAGAGAGUUUUCUUAAGGAAAAAUUCAAACGCAUCAAAUAUGUCUUCAUAAUUCACACUUUCGUGCAUACUCUAUUGGUUGUAGUACUUAAAACUGAAUAUAGGAGCUGAGGAAGAUGGCUCAGUCGAUAAAGCAAUUGCUGGGCAUGUGUAAGAACCUAGGUUUGACUACAGAACCCAUGUAAAACCAGAGGAGAGCGUGCACAUCUAUAAUCGCAGAGGUUAUACAGGGAGAUGGGAGGCAGAGACAAGAGAAUCCUUGACUCCCCAGAAGCUUGGGAAAAAGAUAGGGAUGCAGUCUCAAGCAAAGAAGGCAUGGACCUACACCUACACUUACACCCAGGGUUCUUCCCUCCUACCCCAUACACACAGGUACAAAGGUUUGUUUAUUUUUUAAGGACAAUGUAUAGGUAAAGUGAGGUUUGUAAAUUUUAGGUUGUUAUUUCUAAUAGUCUUUAGCAUUUUGGUUAUUUUUAUUCUUUUUUUUCAAGACUAAUCAUUGUUAUUUGAAGAUUUGUUUGGUUUUAGUGAUUUAUUGCCUCAAAAAAAAAAAAAAACUUACUAUAUAACUCAAGCUACCCUUGAAAUUGCAGUUCCCCUGCCUUUACAUCUAAAGAUAAAGGACAACAGGUACAUGAAUCUUUGGCAUAUGCUCUUAUGUUCUUCUUUUGAUUGAAUUAGUACUAUUCCACUGAGUAGUUUCCUCAGAUGACAUUUGUCAGGUAUUAGUUUUAGGGGUUAAUUAAAGAUGGAUAGACUCUGCCGGGCAAUGGUGCUUUAAUCCCAGCACUUGAGAGGCAGACGCAGGCGGAUUUCUGAGUCUGGUCUACAGAGUGAGUUCCUGGACAGCCAGGCUACACAGAGAAACCCUGUCUCGAAGACAACAACAACAACAACAACAAAGGGAUAGACUCAAACCAGGUGGAGUGGUGCAUGCCUUUAACCCCAGUUCUCAGGAGGCAGAGGCAGGUAGAUCUCUGUGAGUUCAAGGCCAGCCUAGUUUGCAGAGGGAAUUCCAGGACAGUCAGAGCUACCCAGUGUUAGACCAAAAAAAAAAAAAACCAGGAAAG